ACAAUAUGCAAAUGAAUAUGUAAAAUGUUCCCCUUACAGCUACAUAUAGAGAAAUAUCAGCCACGGUCACUGUGGGCUCUGGAGAGUUUAGCACUGCUUUUAGUUAUAUGAUGUUCCUUCCAGUUCUGCUGCUGCUGGCAGCUUCAUCCUAUGUGGAAUGUGCAGUAGAGCUCACUCAGGACACCUCAGUGAUGUUAAAGCCUGGAGAUUCUUUAAUCCUCAGCUGUAAAGUAUCCGGUUACUCAGUUACUGAUGGCAGCUACGCCACAGCUUGGAUCCGACAACCUGCAGGGAAAACUCUGGAAUGGAUAAACCACAUUUGGGGGGGUGGAACCAUACGUUAUAAAGAGUCUCUAAAAAGCAAGUUCAGUAUUUCCAAAGAUGCCUCCAGCAGCACGGUGACACUGAGAGGACAGAACAUGCAGACUGAAGACACAGCUGUGUAUUACUGCGCUCGUGUAACACACAGUGACACAACAAGCUGCAGUGCUGAAUUUAGAAACACAGAGUCUGUCGAGGCUACAAACUCCUGGAAUUAAAAAUCACCUGUAGGGGGCAGCAGCUGCUUAUUUUCAAGAAGGAUUCAUAAAACUAUGAAACCUAACAGCUGAAGUGUGUUUAUGCAAAUUCACCCUGUUAUAAUACAAAAACAUCCUCUUGCUCACCCGAAGUUCAGAUUCAGACAUGUUCAUAUUCCGGUUCUUUAAAU